rnacentral:rRNA from 1 species
CCUACGGGUGGCAGCAGUGGGGUAUAUUGGACAAUGGGGGGAACCCUGAUCCAGCCAUGCCGCGUGUGUGAAGAAGGCCCUCGGGUUGUAAAGCACUUUCAGUGAGGAAGAACGCCUGGUGGUUAAUACCCAUCAGGAAAGACAUCACUCACAGAAGAAGCACCGGCUAACUCCGUGCCAGCAGCCGCGGUAAUACGGAGGGUGCGAGCGUUAAUCGGAAUUACUGGGCGUAAAGCGCGCGUAGGUGGCUUGAUAAGCCGGUUGUGAAAGCCCCGGGCUCAACCUGGGAACGGCAUCCGGAACUGUCAAGCUAGAGUGCAGGAGAGGAAGGUAGAAUUCCCGGUGUAGCGGUGAAAUGCGUAGAGAUCGGGAGGAAUACCAGUGGCGAAGGCGGCCUUCUGGACUGACACUGACACUGAGGUGCGAAAGCGUGGGUAGCAAACAGGAUUAGAUACCCCUGUAGUC